rnacentral:rRNA from 1 species
AUUGAACGCUGGCGGCAGGCCUAACACAUGCAAGUCGAGCGGAUGAAGUGAGCUUGCUUCUGGAUUCAGCGGCGGACGGGUGAGUAAUGCCUAGGAAUCUGCCUGGUAGUUGGGGAUAACGUCCGGUCACGGGCGCUAAUACCGCAUACGUCCUGCGUGUGAAAGUUGUUGCUCUUCGGACCUCACGCUAUCAGAUGAUCCUAGGUCGGAUUAGCUAGUUGUUGGGGUAAAGGCCUACCAAGGCGACGAUCCGUAACUGGUCUGAGAGGAUGAUCAGGCACACUGGAACUGAGACACGGUCCAGACUCCUACGGGAGGCAGCAGUGGGGAAUAUUGGACAAUGGGCGAAAGCCUGAUCCAGCCAUGCCGCGUGUGUGAAGAAGGUCUUCGGAUUGUAAAGCACUUUAAGUUGGGAGGAAGGGAAGUAAGUUAAUACAUUGCUGUUUUGACGUUACCAACAGAAUAAGCACCGGCUAACUUCGUG